AAUUGACAGAUCUGUGUCCAAUGUGUAUAUUACAGCACCAUGAUGCAGACAAACAUAUAACUCUAUGUAGCCUGCAGGAACCUCUCUAUACAAAUGUUUGGCAACGUCUUUGAAUGUUCUCUUAUCCACAGUGUUUCUUCUGAAGUUGUAAGGAACUCUACUUAAAAUUUUGUCUGAGUAAUCAUCACACUGAGGGGUGUCUGAGAAGCCACAUAUUGACUUUGUUAUUGCAUGGGCACACAGAUCUGGUCACUGACCUUCUGCUGAUGUCUUAUGAUCAGCUUUCUAUACAUGGAAUUCUAUUGACUGCACUGAGGAUUUCACAAACAGAGGGUCCUAAGUCUUCUCACAAUGCUUGAUUAAACAUCAAAUACUAAAAUGUGAAGCUAAUACAUUAUGGUGGCCCCAUGCCUUAUUUAUUGUGUACAUGUUCCAGUGCUGCUCUGAAGACUUCCGAGUGGACUGUCGUAUGGUGCUCAUUGUCAUAAUAUGCCCCUCCCUCAUUGACAACACACCUUCCAAAUUCUGCAACAAGCAGGGGCGGAUAUACGGCAGGGCGAACGGGGCGGCCGCCCCGGGCCCCGCGCUUCAGAAAGCCCCGCGCAUGUGCCAUGGUGCGGCUGCGCAUGCGCAUGGCAUCACUGCGCAUGCGCCGUGGCAAAGGGAGGCCCCGUGGAAUUAUGCUGCCCGGGGCCCCGCAAAACGGUCAUCUUCCCCUGGCAACAAGAGAGCCAAGAGUCCUUCAGACAACAAUCCACUUUACUACACAACUCUAGUUCAUCCUCAGAGAAGAUUGAAGUACAUUGAAAGAGAUGAGAAUCCUGUGGAAAAAAAUACCAUGUGACCAUGUAAUUAAAGACUGUAUCAUAAUUAGAGCUGGCUGAAAAAAUUUCAAAACAGUUUUCUGUGGAGAAAAUGCUGAUUCAACAUAAUCAAAACAUUCCACCAGAACAUGUUGAUUCCAUCAGAACUUCUGGCGGAAAUCAGGCAGGCAGGCAGGCUGGCCAGCCGGCUGGCCUUGUUUCCUGCCAGUGUGUCCAGUUCCUAGCUGCCCACUCAUUAGGUUCCCCAUGCUCCCACUCUCCUUGCAUAGUUGGCUCCCCAAAUAGUUGGCUUCCCUGGUUGCCUAUCACAGACAAGCAGGCAGGUGAAUGGAUUGGUAUCUCGUUGCACGGCUGUGUUUCCAGAAUGCUAACUGUCCAGAUGGCCAAUAUUUACAGGUAGACAACACCCUGGACAGCACAGCUGACUUUUCUUUCUGAUUUGGAAUGAAAUUUGGUUUUGACAGGUCACAAUUUUCAGUUCCCACUUACCUCUAAUCAUACAACUUGUGCAUGGGAGCGGGAGGCAAAUUCAGUUUGCACAGGCAACCAUACUUCUGGCAUUUCCCACCCUGAAUGCUUGACUUUACAACAUUAAUGCUCUUUUUUUUAACAUAAUGUCCUACGUUCUAAAAAAGCAAACUUAAAAUGACAGAAAUGCCAUCAAAUAGCAUUGUCUUGCCAUUCACAUGGAUUGUCAGCAACAUUGGAACCUUUAGAUUCACCAUAUAGACCUAUGCUAUUUGAUCUGUGUAACUGAUAACAGUAGAAGACCUAUGCUAUUCCACUGCCCAGCACCAAAUCUUCCAGUGGAGGAAUGAUGAGAUUCAGAAAUAUGGGGAUUCAAUCCUUAUUCUGAAAGGGGUUGUGUGCAGUUUGGGAAAGAUCCUUCUGAAGCCUAACCCUUUCUGUCCCUUCUAUUCCACCUUAUCCUUGUUCCAGUCCUCUCCACCCACUUCUCAUGUGAAUCCCAGUGUCCAUUCCUCAGAUUUCUCAUCCCAGUCCCAGUCUCCUUGCCCAGCCAGUCCUAGUCUUUUCUGCUGUCUUUAUCUCCAAGUCCCAGUAUCCACCUCUCCAGGUCCUCAUCCAGUUUCAUCUCUCCCUCCCCUAUUAUCAGCCUGUCCACCACUGUCUAGAACUGGCAGGGCAAGGAGACUGGGAGCAGUGGAAUACUAGUCUUUCCUAGGUCCCAGUCAGGGCUAGUGACAGGCUUUACCAGGCCCUGGGCAAUAUGAGGGUCUUGGCUCUGGGGCCCCCAGAAGGGCAGAGCCUCAGGCAGAAGGGGUGAGGCUAGUCUCCCCCAGCCAUCCCUCAGUGCGGCCUGGACCAUGCCAUGUGAGGCUCUGGAUCUGGGACUGCAGCCACCUCUCUGUUAGAGAGGUGGGAGAACCAACGCUGCCAUCAGCAGCCCUGGCCCCUGUACAAGCUCUUUCUCUAGCUAGUUCCAGCUGCUUCCCACAAGUCCAAGUCAGUUCCUAACCCUAUCAGGCACGACGUCCCAAUAUACUCUCUCCUUGACUCUACCCUUACCUACCCCAGGUGCAGCUGUUCUCCCCUUUGCAUAUAAAUCAGGUUAUUUCCUCUGCAGUGCCUUAGAGCUAGCAGGGUGGCCAUUAUGGAUACAGGAAAGAGUCUUCCUGAUCUCAGUUCAUGUGCCUGGUACCACAGUGACCCUCAGCAGG